AAUAUAAGCCACAAAGUUCUAUCUUAUCUGUACCAUUAGAACUUUUCUCUACGAUUUUAUUGAGUAACCAGCCCUAAGUCGCAACUCCGAUUCUUCCAUCAUUUUCUUCAUUCUUGUCCAACGUGAAUGUUACUGGUCGAGGCGGAGACAUAACCCGCAGCAAUCCGAACCACGCCCACAAGAACCUGAACAAUCUGGACCCAAAAACUCAUCUUCUUCAGUAGGGAAGAGGUGUCUGAUUCGUUACCCAAAGCCCCAAUUCUCGAUCUGGGUCCAAACCCAAAAUUUAGUGAUCUCCCUUCGAACAUUUUGUCUGUGUUAUCCGUUUCCGGCGUCGGCCGCGGAAAAACCACGAAUCCAGUAGAUUCCGGUGGAUUCCGGCGAGGAUGUGAAGGAAGAAAACCGGCAUUUAUGAGCCCGGCCAAAUUGCAGGACUCAUCUGAUGUUCUGAUGUGAUUUUUGAUGCUAGAGCUGGGCAGAGGAGUUAAAGAAAAGAUUAUAUCUAACUUGGAGAGAGAUAAUUCAUAUGGGGGAUUCCCAAGGAUGAUGAUGAUGGUGUAGAUUCGUUAUCAAUAUCUAUCCAGGACUUGGGAUAUCAAUCAAGAAUUGACAUGGCUAGGACUUGGUUCUAGUACGGGAGAAUGUCCUCUUACACUAUAGUGCGAACUUGGGGAAAGGUACCCAUGGGAUAGUAGCCCUAAAGUGAUCUCAAGAGUACUUGGAGCAAGGAGGAGCAAAGCAAAGGAACCUCAAAGAAAGCAAGCAAACAAAGCAAAAUAAAAUAAAAAAUAAAAAUAAAAAUAAAAAUUGCAAAAGCAAAGCAAAACAAAAAGCUUAAAAAUUUCUUGAAGUUGCUUAAGGACCCUUUAUGCAGCAUAAGUAAAAGACCCGAAAGCACUUAGCCAGAGCCAACACAACCUCCUUCAUCUCUAGCGGAGGAGUUAUCAUCUUUGUCUAAGGCUACUGCAUCUACAUCUUUAGAGCCAUCUUUCAUGGAGGCACAAGGUCUCAUUAUCAAAGAAGUACCUUCUCUCUUUUUCUCCGGCAGGAAAUUGGAGCCAGAAUUCAAAUUUGACCGAGAUUUAUUUAUCGGGUUGGAGUAAACACAGUGGUCUUAUAAUGAGCUCACCCGUAGGGGCAUCGAUGCUAUUAUGACUCCGGCAGACACUGUAAUCUAUCCCUGAUUGGUUGCUUUGUUUUUCGAGCACCACUAGAUGGACGAGGAUGACCGUUAGUUGAUGCAUACGACUAUAGAUGGACACGACAUUAACAUCUCUAUCCUUGCCAUAGCUACUGUCUGUCAAUUGAUGAGCGCUAAAUAUUGCAUAUUCGAGCCUGAUGAGCGCUGAAAAGUCAAUAAAGUUAAAACGGGCUAAAAAUGGCUUCUUAAGGCCUUUUUGGAGUCAAACUAAGUCUUGGUGAGAAUCUGAGGCAAAAUUGAGGCUGAUGCUGAAAAUUGCCAAGUGAGAUCUAUCGCAGAAAAGUGAGAUCGAUCAUAGAAAAGUGAGAUCGAUUAAACCCAGAUCGAUCGAAGAAAAGUGAGAUCGAUCGAAUCCAGAUCGAUUGAAGAAAAGUGAGAUCGGUUGAACUGUUCGCGGAAGUAAUUAAAAAGCAGAUCAAAAGCUCAUUUCGACCCAACUCGGGCUGUGCUUGAAAGGGGAGAUUCUAGGGUCGAGUUCUCACAUUUUUGGGCUCUCAAAGCCUUGUAUAUAUGAGAGAUUGAACCAUUUUUGUAGGGAAAUUCAUAUAUUUCAUUGUAAUUUCUAUAUUUUCGUUACUUUCUCUCUUUAGAAAGUUAGAGAUUAGGGUUAGAAGAAAAGAAGGAAGUGGAGGCACAUCUCAAGAACCCAUCUCUAGAUCCACACACACUCUCUCUCUAGAGCUUCAAAGAAGAAGAUGGAGCCAUGUUUGGAGCUUGCCCUUAAGGGUUCCAAGAUCACACCCACCUCCUCCAUGAUUGGCUAGACUUCUCAUUGGGACUUGGAUAAGCCCCAAGUUUGUAAUCUAAACCUCUAUCUUUUUCUUACUUUUUGGGGAAUAAUAUCUUGUGAUUUGUGUUCAUGAAUCUUGGUGUAUUUCUAUGAUUUCUAUGGUUUAAUUUUUCCUAUUAA